rnacentral:rRNA from 1 species
AACGAACGCUGGCGGCAGGCUUAACACAUGCAAGUCGAGCGCCCCGCAAGGGGAGCGGCAGACGGGUGAGUAACGCGUGGGAAUCUACCCAUCUCUACGGAGUAACGCAUGGAAACGUGUGCUAAUACCGUAUACGUCCUUCGGGAGAAAGAUUUAUCGGAGAUGGAUGAGCCCGCGUUGGAUUAGCUAGUUGGUGGGGUAAAGGCCUACCAAGGCGACGAUCCAUAGCUGGUCUGAGAGGAUGAUCAGCCACACUGGGACUGAGACACGGCCCAGACGCCUACGGGAGGCAGCAGGGGGGAAUAUUGGACACUGGGCGCAAGCCUGAUCCAGCGAUGCCGCGUGAGUGAUGAAGGCCCUAGGGGUGUAAAGCUCUUUCACCGGUGAAGAUAAUUACGGUAACCGGAGAAGAAGCCCCGGCUAACUUCGUGCCAGCCGCCGCGGUAACAC